rnacentral:rRNA from 1 species
GGCCUACCAUGGUGGUAACGGGUAACUGGGAAUUAGGGUUCGAUUCCGGAGAGGGAGCCUGAGAAACGGCUACCACAUCCAAGGAAGGCAGCAGGCGCGCAAAUUACCCAAUCCCGACACGGGGAGGUAGUGACAAUAAAUAACAAUACGGGGCUCUUUCGGGUCUCGUAAUUGGAAUCAGUACAAUUUAAAUCCCUUAACGAGGAACAAUUGGAGGGCAAGUCUGGUGCCAGCAGCCGCGGUAAUUCCAGCUCCAAUAGCGUAUAUUAAAGUUGUUGCAGUUAAAAAGCUCGUAGUUGAAUUUCGGGAUUGACACAUCGGUCGUGCCUUAAGGGGUAUGAACUGGUGUAGUCAAUUUCUCACCUUCUGGAGAACCGCGAUGCCCUUAAUUGGGUGUGGCGGGGAACCAGGACCUUUACUUUGAAAAAAUUAGAGUGUUUAAAGCAGGCAUUUUGGGGGAGUACAUUAGCAUGGAAUAAUAAAAUAGGACGGCAUGAUUCUAUUUUGUUGGUUUCUAGGAUCACCGUAAUGAUUAAUAGGGAUAGUUGGGGGCAUUAGUAUUCAAUUGUCAGAGGUGAAAUUCUUGGAUUUAUUGAAGACUAACUACUGCGAAAGCAUUUGCCAAGGAUGUUUUCAUUAAUCAAGAACGAAGUUAGGGGAUCGAAGACGAUCAGAUACCGUCGUAGUCUUAACCAUAAACUAUGCCGACUAGGAAUCAGACGAUGUAAUUUUUUAUGACUCGUUUGGCACCUUACG